UUUUCCCAUGGCUUUGUUAUGGCAGACUGUUGUAUAUCAACAUGCCCGCGGACAAUGUGUAUCCCUUCAUCCUAUGCUGACCUUGACAGAGCCGCCAGAGAUAUUUUCAACAAAGGAUUUGGCUUUGGGUUGGUAAAGCUGAAUGUGAAAAUGAAGUCAUGCAGUGGUGUGGAAUUUUCAACAUCUGGUUCAUCUAAUAUGGACACUGGUGAAGUUAGUGGGACCUUGGAGACCAAAUACAAAUGGUGUGAGUAUGAGUACAGUCUGACUUUCACAGAAAAAAAUGGAACACCAAUAACACUCUGGGGACAGAGAUUGCAAUUGAAGACCGGAUCUGUCAAGGUUUGAAGCUGGCAUUUGAUACUACCUUUUCACCAAACACAGGAAAGAAACGUGGUAAAAUCAAGUCUGAUUACAAGAGGGAGUGUAUAAGCCUUGGCUGUGUUGUUGACUUUGAUUUUGCUGGACCUGAGAUCCAUGGCUCAGCUGUCUUUGGUUACGAGGGCUGGCUUGCUGGGUGCCAGAUGACCUUUGACAGUGCCAAGUCAAAGAUGACAAGGAGUAACUUUGCAGUACGUUACAGGACUGGGGACUUUCAGCUACAUGCUAAUGUCAAUAAAAGAACAGAAUUUGGAGGAUCAAUUUAUCAGAAAGUAUGUGAAGAUUUUGACACUUCAGAAAACCUUGCCUGGACAUCAGGUACCAACUGCACUCGUUUUGGGAUUGCAGCAAAUACCAGUUGGAUCCACUGCUUCCAUCUCUGCAAAGGUCAACAGCUCCAGUUUUAUCGGAGUGGGCUAUACUCAGAAGCUUACACUGUCUGCUCUGGUAGAUGAAAAGAGCUUUAAUGCUGGAGGCCACAAACUCAAGAUUGCCUUGGAACUGGAGGCUUAA